UACGUGCCAGCAGCCGCGGUAAUACGUAGGUGGCAAGCGUUGUCCGGAUUUAUUGGGCGUAAAGCGAGCGCAGGCGGUCAAUUAAGUCUGAUGUGAAAGCCCCCGGCUCAACCGGGGAGGGUCAUUGGAAACUGGUUGACUUGAGUGCAGAAGAGGAGAGUGGAAUUCCAUGUGUAGCGGUGAAAUGCGUAGAUAUAUGGAGGAACACCAGUGGCGAAGGCGACUCUCUGGUCUGUAACUGACGCUGAGGCUCGAAAGCGUGGGUAGCAAACAGGAUUAGAUACCCUGGUAGUCCACGCCGUAAACGAUGUCGACUUGGAGGUUGUGCCCUUGAGGCGUGGCUUCCGGAGCUAACGCGUUAAGUCGACCGCCUGGGGAGUACGGCCGCAAGGUUAAAACUCAAAUGAAUUGACGGGGGCCCGCACAAGCGGUGGAGCAUGUGGUUUAAUUCGAUGCAACGCGAAGAACCUUACCUACUCUUGACAUCCAGA
rnacentral:rRNA from 1 species